CAAUAGCGUAUAUUUAAGUUGUUGCAGUUAAAAAGCUCGUAGUUGGAUUUCAGAUGGGACUUGCCGGUCCGUCGUUUCGAUGUGCACUGGCCAGUCCUAUCUUGUUGUCGGGGACUAGCUCCUGGGCUUCACUGUCCGGGACUAGGAGCUGACGAGGUUACUUUGAGUAAAUUAGAGUGUUCAAAGCAAGCCUACGCUCUGAAUACAUUAGCAUGGAAUAACACGAUAGGACUCUGGCUUAUCUUGUUGGUCUGUGAGACCAGAGUAAUGAUUAAGAGGGACAGUCGGGGGCAUUCGUAUUUCAUUGUCAGAGGUGAAAUUCUUGGAUUUAUGAAAGACGAACUUCUGCGAAAGCAUUUGUCAAGGAUGUUUUCAUUAA
rnacentral:rRNA from 1 species